CGAGGAGUGCGUCGGGGGGGUAGACGCCAAGUUGUAUGUGAUUCCGAGCCGGGGGCCAAGGA
rnacentral:rRNA from 1 species